UGAUUCGUAGGUUACAGUGCUCCUACCUUUCGGCUAUUAGUUCGAACAGCACGUUUGUUUCGUGCCUGGUCGC
rnacentral:tRNA from 1 species